UCACCAUGGGUCUAUAGAGGGGAUACUGGGACCGAGAAUAGACAUCCUGGACACAGAGGGGUCUUAAUUGACCCGGACCCCCAAGUGGUCAGAGGUGGAGAGCUUGAAUCCAUUACUUUAGGUACCAAUCACCACCGAUGUACCCAUGUGUGGGUGUGUGUGUGUGUGUGUGUGCGUGUGUGUGGGGAGGGGGGGUUCUGUGCGUCUUCUUCUUUGCUAGAAUGUUAACUUGUGUUUAAAGCUGCCAUAAGUACGAUGAGAGAGAGUUGUUCAUUGACACUAAACAGCCAUGAGGACGACCGCCCCGGCGCCACGCGCCCCAGGUAUUCUCUCGGAGCGUUUCCCCCACUCAUAGUGGACCGAUGGGUACAGUGUUUCCAACCUACAACGACUCCAACGACUGCUCCAAACCCCUCCCUGCAGCCCAGGUUACGUAACCACACCCCCACAUUACCCACAAUCCCCCAGAAUGGAACUGGCCAACACUGCCAGAAGCUCAGAGGAUACCAGAGGCACCACAAGCAGGAAAAACAGAACCCCCCCCCCCCGGUCAGACUCCACCAGGCUGGCAGCCAGUCCGAAGCCUUUGUCUGUUUUUUCCGGAGCGCCGCGGGAGGAAAGGCAUUCCACGCUGGAAGUGUCCCGCUGGAACCAGGGAACGUUUGUUUGGGUCCGUCUUCCUCUGCCAUUGUUUUGGCGGCGAACUUUGCUCUGGCCAGCGUUGAAACGGCCAUUGUGUUGACCAUAUACUGGGUGGAAAUGUAUUUAGAGUCCAUGGUUCGCCGACAGAGUUCGAUAUUUAUAGUGUGGUGAACGACAGGUCCCCUAGGGGGCGCGUGUCUCUGUAGCCUCUGCUCUCAUUGGUCCAGCUCCAGUUAUUGCUUGUGAUGUUGAGUAUGCUCUCUAUGCUCAUUUUAAUCUUUCCUGGCCUCUUCAUUUGUAAUACAUUUUGGUAUUUGCUUAUUGGUUUAACUUUGAAUUGGAUUAUAAUUAAUUACAUAUUUAGCAUAACCCCGUAUAAAAUAUUACCAUUAUUGUCUAUUCAUUAUCUAUAUUUUAUAUCUAUCUAUAUCUAGGUAGAGAUAUACAUCUUAGGACUAUAUCUAUCUCUAUACAUAAUAUAUAUCAAUUAAUAAUGAUAAUAUUUUACAAACAUAUGAAUACACACAGUAGAUAAUGAGAGGGUAAUGUUAUUUAAUAAAAGGAUGAACUCUGUAUUUCAGUCAGUUUUGCAUUUAUUUCAAAGGAUCUUCAUAACAUUAAUGCACACGGUCAUCGGUAUCAACGUACAAAACAGCGGUGUGGGUCUGGCAAAACCACCAUCAAGGCUUAAAGAAAAGGAUUUUACACAAACAGAAAAGCACCAGACACACCUCCAACCCCAGCCCUCCACCCCCCCCCCCCCCCCCCCCCCCCCCCCCGCCCGCCACCCACCCGCCAGAAACAACGGGCAUAAAAACCAAACACAAGUUCACAAGACGCUCCCGAAGUCUCCCCAAACACAACAUCUCUGACCGCUACACCUGUGUAAUGACGCUAGCUUUUAAAAAA